CCCUUAGAUGUCCUGGGCCGCACGCGCGCUACAAUGACUCACUCAGAAAGUUUUUCCUGAUCCGGAAGGAUUCGGGUAAUCUUCAUAGCAUGAGUCGUGUUAGGGAUCGAUCUUUGCAAUUAUAGAUCUUGAACGAAGAAUGCCUAGUAAGUGCAGCUCAUCAGGCUGUACUGAUUACGUCCCUGCCCUUUGUACACACCGCCCGUCGCUCCUACCGAUUGAGUGGUCCGGUGAACCUUCUGGAUUAAGCAGCAAUGCUUGAGAAGUUAGGUAAACCUUAUCACUUAGAGGAAGGAGAAGUCGUAACA
rnacentral:rRNA from 1 species